UGGGGAAUUUUGGACAAUGGGCGAAAGCCUGAUCCAGCAAUGCCGCGUGUGUGAAGAAGGCCUUCGGGUUGUAAAGCACUUUUGUCCGGAAAGAAAUCCUUGGCUCUAAUACAGUCGGGGGAUGACGGUACCGGAAGAAUAAGCACCGGCUAACUACGUGCCAGCAGCCGCGGUAAUACGUAGGGUGCAAGCGUUAAUCGGAAUUACUGGGCGUAAGCGUGCGCAGGCGGUUUGCUAAGACCGAUGUGAAAUCCCCGGGCUCAACCUGGGAACUGCAUUGGUGACUGGCAGGCUAGAGUAUGGCAGAGGGGGGUAGAAUUCCACGUGUAGCAGUGAAAUGCGUAGAGAUGUGGAGGAAUACCGAUGGCGAAGGCAGCCCCCUGGGCCAAUACUGACGCUCAUGCACGAAAGCGUGGGGAGCAAACAGGAUUAGAUACCCUGGUAGUCCNCGCCCUAAAGCGAUGUCAACUAGUUGUUGGGGAUUCAUUUCCUUAGUAACGUAGCUAACGCGUGAAGUUGACCGCCUGGGGAGUACGGUCGCAAGAUUAAAACUUAAAUGAAUUGACGGGGUCAUAGCUGUUUCCU
rnacentral:rRNA from 1 species